GGAGGGGAAAUGGGCCAUCUUUUAUUCCAAGAAAGUCGUUUAAGAGUUCCAUCAGUACAAGUAUAGACAAAGAAGGGGAGGAAAAUACAGUACAAAAAGGAAAUCUAGAAAAUUUCUGUACCAGAUAUUGACCUAAUUUACUGAAGCCUAACCCUAGACCCUCCUUCCCUCCCCCUCUCAGAUGAUCUGUUAGACAAAGGACUUUGAUUUCUAUUUGUUAUGUAAGUCUAACCCCUGUUAUGUUACAGACCAUUAGUCUACACAUUUUUGAUAAUCCUUAUCCUACUUCUUUCUUUACAAGUAAAAAGAAGGGUGAUGGAAAAUGGAAAUAACACCAUCACAAUUAGAACUUAAACUAAUUCCAGCUACUUCAAAAAAAUCCUAAGCUCAAGAUCAACAGAGAAUCGACAGGAAAAGUACUUCUGAUGGAACACUAACGUCUUCUAGGACUAAUUCCUGCUACUUCAAAAAAAUUCCUAAGCUCAAGAUCAUCUGAGAAUUGGCAGGAAAAGUACUUGUGAUGGAACACUAAUGUCUUCUAGGAUCCAGCUUCUCCCAUUCAUAACGUCCAGGGAGUGGCUUGUCCUUAACAGGGUCAAAGUUAUACUUCUCAAUAAAUUGUCUCUGCUGCUCUUCUUCAGCUCCAGCAAAGAACUCAUCCAUUUCAUGUGCAGUUGGGAUGUGUCUAUGCACGGAGUUCUGUAUUCUCCUGCUAGUUUCAGUUGAGCUGGCAGGUCUAGUAGUCGAACCAGGGGUUAUUAUGGUUUCUGGGUCCCUUAUCAAACUGCAUGGAGUGGAUUCCCUAGUGCUCCUGCCACCAAGAAGACAAACAUGAUACAGAACUAUAGACAAGUUAAACCGCGUAAAACUAGAAGGACAAAUAACAUCAACGAUACAAACUCAUAGCACAAAACUGUAUUUUGUAGCAAGUAUAACAAAUAACAAAAACAUGAAAGAGAUCAUACGAGAACAAAAACAUAAAAAAGAUCAUAGAUUACAAAAACAUGAAAAUGAUCAUACCAUUGAAAAGCAUCUAAAAGUUAACAACUCAAAUUUUAAAAGCCCAUUAAAGAAAAUCUACAGGUAUUUCUCGUAAUCCCUGCAAGGUAACAAGAAACUAUCACAAACACAAAAGACACUUGAAAAAGCUUAAGGCAAAGGACAUUAUCAUUCUACAGAAAUAUCAGCGAGACCUUUUUUUCAGUUCAGCCACAAUAACAUGAGUGGGGGAAAAAGCCUUCAUUAUUCAGUCAAACAAAAGAUUUCCUCUACUAAAAGAAUAACGAGAAAAAAAAAAGCAGCAGGUAAAAUGUUACAGCUAAAUAAAGAAAAUAAAGAAAUUCCAUCAAAGUAUCCCAUUCCAAACAUAUAUUACAGAAAAAAUAGAUAUUAAAGUUAAGCAUCAAAACAAGAUAACCACACUUUAAGCAUAUUUAUAUUCAACUAUAACCUAAUGCAAACUAAUAAUGUUAAAAAAUUGCAAAGGCAUCCACUGACAAAGAAACCAACAGAAAACCUUCAUAUCUUGUAAUUAAAUAAUGCAAUGGGAUCCCUAACUAAGCACCUAAUGUCACACACGCGCACGCGCACGCGCACGCGCACGCAUUCGCCAACACGCACACGCAUUCGCCAAUAUUCUAGAAAUGUCAACCAAAUUGAAGGAAUGAGCAAAAUUAAUCACAAGGCAAGCUGCCAUAUUUCAAGGAACAGAGUAUAAUGAGAUUUAAAAACUUUACAGAUAAAAAAAACCAUCAGCAAUGAUGUCACAAUAAUUUUUUUGCUCUGCAGAUAAAAGUUCCAAAAGCAAAGCAAAUUAGAAGAUUUAAGUCAUUUUCAAACACAGGCCCGCUGCAGAAGCAAACAAGACUACAAUUCACUUAGCCAGCAAUAAAAAUUUAAUACAUUAAAACUUCGAAACAAACAACAGCUCAAGUAAAAGACUGGGGGAGGGGGAGGGGGAGGGGGAAGGGGGAGGGGGAGAGAAUCCAAUUGAUAAAUUCAUAUUAAUCUACCUAAAAAGUGCUGCAAACAUAGUG
rnacentral:misc_RNA from 1 species